CUACAUUAGAUACCCCUGUAGUCCCAGCCGUAAACUAUGCUCGCUAGGUGUCAGGCAUGGCGCGACCGUGUCUGGUGCCGCAGGGAAGCCGUGAAGCGAGCCACCUGGGAAGUACGGCCGCAAGGCUGAAACUUAAAGGAAUUGCGGGGAGCACCACAACGGGUGGAGCCUGCGGUUUAAUUGGACUCAACGCCGGGAAGCUCACCGGAUAAGACAGCGGAAUGAUUGCCGGGCUGAAGACUCUGCAUGACUAGCUG
rnacentral:rRNA from 1 species